UACAGAGGGUGCGAGCGUUAAUCGGAAUUACUGGGCGUAAAGCGCACGUAGGCGGCUUGGUAUGUCGGGUGUGAAAUCCCCGGGCUCAACCUGGGAACUGCAUCCGAAACUGCCUUGCUAGAGUAUGGGAGAGGGAAGUGGAAUUUCCGGUGUAGCGGUGAAAUGCGUAGAUAUCGGGAGGAACACCUAUGGCGAAGGCAGCUCGCUGGGACGUUACUGACGCUGAGACGCGAAAGCGUGGGGAGCAAACAGG
rnacentral:rRNA from 1 species